CAACUCCAUUUCAUCAGUUCCACUUCUUAAUGCAUCUCGUCUCCUCCAACUAUAUAUUAACCCAGAUAGAGCACUUUCCUUCUGCAUCAAACUCGCACUUCCAAAAUCUUGCACAUUUCUUUCAGCAAUACUUUCCAUUUGAACGAAUCUCAAACCAAAAUGGCAAAACCUCUCUGUGCAAUCACGAGAGCACUCAAAGACAACUUCUACUUGCUCCUUUUAGCUAUGACUAUCUCUUGUAACUGCUCAGCAAGAAUCCUUGAUGAGGUGGAACCACAAGAUCCUAUCAUUGUGGACCCACCUGCCACAUCAACUUUCCCUCCAACUACUACAUUACCAAGUGGCCAAGCUCCGGCCAUUGUCGCCCACACUUCCACUGGCGAUGAUGAGGUUGACCCACCACUUCCUGAAGCUGAAGUCCCCACAACUGUGGCAGCACCGGAUACUGAUGUUGAAGCACCAGAAAUUGAUGCUGCACCCAUAACUCCUCCUGUCACGGUGGCAGCGCCAAUUCCGGUUCCCACUACCGUCGCUACAAGUGGCACAGGGGCAAAUCCUGUUGGCUCACAAACCACUAGCACUACGGCUGCUACCACAGCCACUGCUGCUCCAUUGUCGUUCUUCAUGCAUGACAUUUUGGGAGGAACACACCCAUCAGUCAGGGUGGUCACGGGAAUCAUUGCCCGGACCGACAUCAAUGGCAUUCCAUUCUCAGUACCCAACAACAAUUUCUUCCCACUUCAAGGUGGGACUCCAUUACCCAACGUUAACAACAUUAACAACCUCAUAAACCCAAACACCGCCCCAUUGAUCACAGGCCUAAACCCGGGCCAAGCCAACACUGUACUUCAAAACAGUGGCAACAACAACGACGUUGUUAACGGCAACAACCAACCUUUUGUCACCGCCGGCCAGAUCCCGGCGGGGUCCACGCUGCAGAAAAUCAUGUUUGGGUCGAUCACGGUCAUCGAUGACGAGUUAACAGAAGGGCAUGAGUUGGGAUCUGCUGUACUAGGCAGGGCACAGGGUUUCUACUUGGCUAGCUUCCUGGAUGGUACCAGCCAUACCAUGGCAUUGACGAUUUUAUUGCACGGAGAGGAUAAGCAUGGAGUUGCUGAAGAUACUAUUAGUUUCUUUGGGGUACACAGGACUGCAUCGCCGGAGUCACAGAUUGCGGUGAUAGGUGGCACCGGAAAGUAUGAGAAUACAAAAGGGUAUGCCACCGUUGAGACUCUUCCUCAGUUGGAUCAGCACACGACGGACGGUGUGGACACGAUGAUGCAUUUCACUGUUUACCUGUCUGAGUAAAUUGUAUGCAUAUGCAUGCAUGUCAGUGUAUGGUUCUUAAUUUGGUUGAGUUGAUUAAUUAUUAUAGAUUAUGGUUCUGUUAUUGGCAAUUUCAGUGACCAUUUGAUGUAUCUUUGAAGAUAAAAUUAAGGAACAAGAAAUGAGAAAUGCUCCUGUGGAUUACAAGUACUGUUGGCUUUUAUUUGUUCAUAGGGAUGAAGACAUGAAGUUGCAGAAUUAGCAGAAUGUUUCUGUUUUAGUGCUGUAAAUGGAAAAUCAUUAGUACAAUUGAUAUGUGAUUGUGUUAAUUUCAAAUAAUUUGUGUUGUCCAAGAAAAAGAAACAUAUUCUAUUAUUGCAUAUCAAUAUGGCAUUUAUAGAUUAAGUGAGUGAACUGAU
rnacentral:misc_RNA from 1 species